GGGGAGGGGCCGGGGCCGUGGCCGUGGCUGUUUACCACCCGGUGCGGAAUCGUUCCCACGUGAACACGUGGUGUGGCUGCCGCAGUUCACAGCGGCUGGACGCCGUCCCGGUGGGGGUGGGGUAAGAGCCGGUGGUCCCGGGCGCCUCCCCCGCCGCCUGGCGCUGCCCCGAAGUGCUAGUGCCGAAUCGCGGCUGGCACCGGUGGCCUCUUCCAGCCUGGCAGAAUCGCGCACGUUCGUUCUCCCUCCUGCCGAGGCAGGCGGUGCCCGAGCGUCCCGCGGGCGCGGCCAGGCGCCCCUCUGCCCGAAGGAGCUCCCGUCUGACCUCGGAAGCGGAGGCACGUCUUGCUUCACCAGCAGGAACCCCUCUCCGGCUUUCUCCCCCUCGCCUUCCCGGGUGACGAGCAGCUGCAACGAGCCGGCGGACCGGAUGCCUCAGCCCGGGAAUCCGGGGCUCUUCCUGCGUAAAGAGGAGGGGCCUGGGCUUCCAGAACCACUGACAGAUGUCUGUGGGAAAGGGCUUCCACACCUGCCAAACCGCCAGCUUCCUUUCUCAUUCUCGAGGGCUCGAGCCGUGAGAUCUAAUUCUGAUUCUGGAGAAUUAGAAGCAACAGGACACGGGACGCAGGCAUCCAGGACAAGUCCUGUAUUUGGACCGCGUUUGGUGCUACGUAUGCAGUUGGGAAAGACCGGAGAAGGGACAGAUUCGGGCGGGAGAGAGAAGACUCCAGAGUCCACUUCACAUGAACCAAGGGAAAGGCCAUGGGAGAACACAGGGGGAAGGCAGCCAGCUACAAGCCAACAAGUGAGCUCUCACCGGACCCCAACCCUUCCGGCACUUGAUCUUGGACUUCUCGGCCUCCAGAACUGUGAGAAAAUAAAUGUCUAUUGUGUAA